rfam:Candidatus Pacearchaeota archaeon RBG_16_35_8 RBG_16_scaffold_6162, whole genome shotgun sequence.
GCCUCAAUGGUCUAACGGCUAUGACUCAUCCCUGUCGCGGAUGCGAUCCGGGUUCGACUCCCGGUUGGGGCG